rnacentral:rRNA from 1 species
CUACGGAGGGUGCAAGCGUUACUCGGAAUCACUGGGCGUAAAGCGCGCGCAGGCGGCUUGAUAAGUUGGAUGUGAAAGCCUACGGCUCAACCGUAGAACUGCAUCCAAAACUGUCAGGCUAGAGUCUGGGAGGGGAAGAUGGAAUUAGUUGUGUAGGGGUAAAAUCCGUAGAGAUAACUAGGAAUACCAAAAGCGAAGGCGAUCUUCUGGAACAGUACUGACGCUGAGGCGCGAAAGCGUGGGGAGCAAACAGGAUUAGAAACCCCUGUAGUCC